rnacentral:rRNA from 1 species
AACGAACGCUGGCGGCAGGCCUAACACAUGCAAGUCGAGCGAGGACUUCGGUCCUAGCGGCGGACGGGUGAGUAACGCGUGGGAACGUGCCCUUUGCUACGGAAUAGCCCCGGGAAACUGGGAGUAAUACCGUAUGUGCCCGAGAGGGGAAAGAUAUAUCGGCAAAGGAUCGGCCCGCGUUGGAUUAGGUAGUUGGCGGGGUAAUGGCCUACCAAGCCGACGAGCCAUAGCUGGUUUGAGAGGAUGAUCAGCCACACUGGGACUGAGACACGGCCCAGACUCCUACGGGAGGCAGCAGUGGGGAAUCUUAGACAAUGGGGAAACCCUGAUCUAGCCAUGCCGCGUGAGCGAUGAAGGCCUUAGGGUUGUAAGGCUCUUUCAGUGGGGAAGAUAAUGACGGUACCCACAGAAGAAGCCCCGGCUAACUCCGUGCCAGCCGCCGCGGUAA